GAAAACCAGAAAAGAUAGAGAGUUUGGGUUUUCGGCAUUCAAUAGGGCACAUAACCGUGGUCUAUAUAAAUUUUGUUACCGAAAACACUGACGCGCUCCCUGAUGACAUUGAAUCAAACUAUUCUGUCCCAAAUGUGUUGUGUUGCAUCUAACAGUUGGCGCUCGCAUUCACAAUAACAAAAAUCCACUUAAAAAGUCUAAAAAGCGUGUUUGUCGACUGGUUCUGAUGUCAAGUUUUUAAUCGUACGUUUCACGUUGCUCCCCUGGAAAUAACACUAAAUUUCGAUUUGAAUUGUUAAAUUGCAUUGAUGUGCCCUUUGGAACUGAGGGCGCUCGCGUCGAUUGUGUUACAUAAACUCAAGUUGCUUCCCCUGCAUGUAAAUGUAUCUGUCAGAUUGAUGUGUAUGAAAUGAACAAAUAACCUCAAAUUAAAAAUACUAGAAAUACUUUGUUUCUCGAAUAGUCGUAUUUAUAACGAUGAUAUUAAAUUAUUUGCGGAUUUUCGGGCAUUCAAUUCAUCGAAAUGCUUUAACGGUGUGUUCAACGAGGAAAUUAUUUACAAAAGAAUUUCUA